ACGUGACGUCAUCCACUCGCUCUCGGCUCUGCUCGGCGCCACUCGGCGACCUUCGUAGACUAGCAGCUAGCAGCUCGCUCGGCUAGCUUAAUGGCUGCUGUCGGCUUGGAUAUUUCUAACUUUAAAACAUGCUCAACACUGACUCAUGAAGAAAAAAUUAGCUGUGGUCGCUAAUAGUAAGCAACACCUGACCUGCUACAGGGACCUUUCAAACAGAAUGGGACAAAAAGAAGGACUAGUUAACUUUAUGUGGUUACCUUAGCAACCUUGUUUCUCUCCAUGGUUACUCUUCUCCUCCAGCAGCGACAGCAGGUGGAUGAGGCGGGAUACUGUGACCUGGACAGUUUACCAAGAGCUCUGCCGAAGCAAAAUGUAAAGACAGUGAUCUACAAGAGACUGUACCGGAGGCCAUAAAACUAAGCUGGUCUUGACUACCUUCUGUGGCGAGGACCUCUCCAGGGUUAAAGCACAUAAAGACCUACAGCCAUAACAGAAUGGAGCAGAACAGGCUUUCAUCCUUGGUUCAUAUUUCCAUUGAAAAGGAAGAAUACAUGGAGGACUUUUACAACAAAACAUCUUUGUCCAGAUGGCUAGGUGCACUUCGUCUACAAAAAAAAGGUUGCCUACUUGGACUUGGAACUCGUGUUUUGCCGGGAAAAUUCAAAGGCUGUGACGUUUAUGCGCACUCCUGAGUGCUUUGCCUCUCUUCAGCCCGCCCACAGCACCAACAAUCAUGAUGAUGCCAUCAGAUGACAUUGAAUUUGGGCAAAGCCAAGGAAUCCAGCCUGUUCUCUGCACAUCCAUCACUGUGUGAAUUGGAUCAGCCACCAAACAAGACAGGAACAGACUACAACGGACAGUCAGGAUGGCAGAGAAAAUCAUUGGUGCCAGCCUGCCCUCCAUCCAAGAUGUAUACACCUCCAGAGUCAGGAAACAGGCAGGAAGCAUCACUGCAGACCCUUCACGCCCUGGACAUGACCUCUUCCAGUGUCUCCCCUCUGGGAGGCGCUACAGAGCACUUACUCCUAACGGCAUCUGCAAGAUUUCCCAGACCGGAGGAAAACAAGUAGUAAGAGCUG